GUGAGUGACUGGACUCAAUAUAUAGUUCGAUAACAAUUAGACAUAACGAGCUUGAAGUUACGUGUCGAUGUCGAAAGGUGUUCUUAUGCUAAGAAAAAAUAAGUUAGCACGAGCGCUAAGCUAACAUUAGCUAACGUUACCUGCUUAGCUUCGUCAUUGUGUUACACACACUGUAACAUCGCGUUAAGCUAAAUAGCAAAAUGCUGGUCACAUUCAUGAAAACUGGUUAGUUCAAAUCUGAAAAGCAGUCAGCAGCUAGCUUACUGAACUGCUUAUUUUUUCUUUUUUAAAAGAAAUAUAUAACGUCAUGUUUCUAAUAUCGAUUUUCUAAUGUAAUACUCAAUACAAAGGGAAUAUGUAUGGCUGUUAUACUAUGUAUUACUCUUUUGGAUGUGUUAUUUUUACUGUGUUAUAAUUAUGUCAUAGAGUGCUUGAUAUUCCAUAUAUAGCUCAGUACAAACGUAACUUGACCAGGUACGAUGCGCUGUGGGUGACUCCAAGGUAACAUGACGUCACUUUGCUUUCCCAAUAUGCCUCCUUGUAACAAUUAAUAUAACCUAGUACAGAGAGGACCUCUUUCAAAGAGCACAUUUAGACUCGCCGCAGAAGGAAAAGCACAUUAUGAAUUCAUGGCGCUGAGCUUUGCUUUCAGCUGUGGAGCCUCUUGCUCUUGGUCACGCUCACACGGCUUACUGGGAGAGUUUAGUAAAACAGUAUGAGUUGUGAUUACAGGUUAAGAUGUCUGAUGUGAAUGGGGAUUGUUCUUUGAAACAAAGCUGGCAUUGUCAGAAACACGCACAGUAAUUCAUUUGUUUUACAUUUGGUUGUUAAUGUAGGAAGGCAACAUAAGCCAUCUGUAUUCUGUAUCGUGAUUCAGCAUCAUGCUGCGUAUCAGUCUGUUCUGCUAUUGGAAACGCACCUGCUGAAUAUUACGGUGUUGUGGUAUGCUGUGCGAUUACGCCCAGAUGAGUGUCUAUAGCUCCUACACAACAGAAUAAAUGGGCUAUUAUGGUAAUGCCGUAAGCAAUAUGAAUUAUAGCACAGGAGGUACAAAAGACAAUCUCUGACUAUUUCCCAUCACUUGGUUGAAUUCAUUUUCAAAGCCUUUCUUAAUUUGAAAUAGAUUACCUUAAAAAUGUUAUCUACCAAAAUAAUAUAAUGCAAUACGAACCUCCUUGGCAUGAUAUCAUUGUUGUAAUAGAGUAACACCUGUCAUUGUUCUCACUCAAAUUGUUUUUAUUCUCAGGUAUUUUAGAUGAGAGAAAAUGGAUACAAUCACACAAGAAGAUUACAGUCCAAACACUGAGAGUGAGCUUACUUCACCAUUUCCCCCCAAACGGCCGAGGACAGACUGUACACACAACAACGGUGGCAAAAGCAGUUUUGCAUUUCCGGAACUUGUGACGUUUUGGAAAACCGUCGGCUCCUCAUCAUCGACAAGUACCUGGCAGGAAAAUGCAGGUUUACUACGCGCAGCAGAAGGUGGUGAUAUGGAAGAGCAACUACAAGACGCUCCAUUUAUUGUCAUUCCUAUUGCGAGCUUGACUACGUCACACACUGGAUCGUCUGACGUCAGCUCAAUCUCUGCAGAGAGAUGCUUCAAACUUCUGGUGAGAGAUGAGCAGCCUCCAAUCCCUCCAACCGACAAACUCAGCUCCACCGUGCCAGAUGAUGAAGAUCGGGCUGUAGCAGAGACCUGCACUUCGAAAGAAGGCAACGCUGAUACGUCCAGUCAGCCUGAUAGCAAACUGCUGGGGGAAGCGUGUGAAGACGAGGCGCUUGGAAAUAACAGCGCUGGAGCACUGGUGCAGAAUAGUGCCAGUCAAAUCCAAGCAUUGCAGGUCAGUUCAAGCGACUAUGGGCUCAGAUAUCAGUCUGGUUGCACUUCUGAAAAUGAAAGUAAUCAGGAGUGGCAAGAGCCUGGAUUCACAGAGACUAUCGUAUUCAGCGAGGAAGAUACAGUCUUAUAUCUUUCACUGAUUCUUUCUACUCAAACCCACAACGCUCAGGGAACUUAGCACAGAUUUGUGAAAAUAUUGCUAUAUGUAAGCAGGAAACAGAAGACCAAGUCAAUGAGAAUUGCACGAGCAUGAACUCCCCAUGAACCAGAAGGAUCAAUUGUUUCUUAUGAUGUUGUUUCACUCAGAAACAUUCCAAUUGAGAGGUUGAGUCUUGAUGCUGAUGACUUCUGUGGGGAAAAAGGAGAAGAGGCUGGUGCUAAGAUGAUAGCCCGAGCUCAGAGCAAAACGUCUGAUCACACGACAGGGACUCCCGUGCCUGCACAAAUCUGUCAAGGGCCUGCUGAAGGAGAUAAUGAUGCAAGUCCUUUCGCUGUAAUUGAACCUGCAAUCUGGAGUGAAACUGACAGGGAGGAAGAGAAGAGCUGCAACUCAGGGAGCGCUGCCGCCGGUGUACAAUCACUUCCAUCAGUAAAAGUCUGCACCAUGGAAACCCCUCUCCCCCUCUGCGCCCACGUCCGGCUAUCAAAGGAGGUUUUAACCCUCAACCAGAAUGGAAAGUCAGAUCACCAAAGCCUUACGCAGCAGCGCGAAGAUGGAAAAGAGGACUUAUGUCAGUCAUUCACUGAACCACUGGCUGGUUCUAUCACCACCAACGAAACACACAACAACAGCAGCUGUCACGGGGAAACCGGAGUCAGCCAUGAUACUGUGGGGCAUCAGUUGAAAGAGUCAGAUCGGUCCGGCUGUUUUCAUGUCAGUCCUGAACGAAUGAAGACAAAGGAGGUUGAAUAUUUACAGGCUGAAAUCACCAGAACGGACGGGACAACUGAGAUAAAAGAAAACGGAGGAAUGACAAGUUUUGAAGAAGAAAUAAGAACCGGUGAGCAACCAGAAAACUCCCAGGACACAGAAGAAGCAACGGAAACAUCAUCUGGUAAUUCCAUCAGGCACCGGACCGAAGGCAAAACUAGUAAAUAUGACGACAAACUAACACAUGUGGAUGACGCGUUGAAAAAUAUACUUGGAUUUCUGUCUGAUCACCCCUACAAUGCUGUGAUUUUACCAACGGAAGAAGCAGCGGGUGAAGAGGAAAGAAAAGAAGAGGCAAGUGUGGGUGCAGAACGCGACAUGUACGGUAGCUCGGAGAUAGUUGUGGAACGGGAGAAGGAAGACAUGCCUGAGGAAUGGAUCAGUGAACGGACAGAGGGACACAAUUUAACCCUGGGGAGUCAACGUGAACAAGAACACAAGCUCAGUUGUGUCUCGGACUUUCAACACACAGCUGAGACAUACGUGGUUGAUAAUAGAGAUGACCCUUCGACCUUGACUGCCUUCCCCUUCAACGGACGUCUGCCAGGAGGAAUUGACACGUUCGAAAGGAUCCAACUCUCCCUGGAUGGUGAUGAAGACGGCCUGAGCGAGAGCCUUCUCCUCAGCAGCCUACCUGAGCAGCUGCUGACAUCACCUCAGCAACAGCUCCAUAAGCACGAGGAGGUACCGCAGGAGGAAGAGGAGGAAACAUCUGGUCGUCACCCUGAGAACAAGGCAAAGGGCUUUUCAGGCAUCUAUAGCAUGUGUAAUGAAGUCCCCGACUGGAUCUCAGCAGCAGCAGAAGACAUCGCUCUCGUACGUCCAGAGCAACCGGCAAACUGUGGGAGGACUCACAACUCCCCCGAGUGCUUCCAGGGCGACUUCCAGUCCAGUGUUCCCCCCAGCAGCGAGGGUCCAGCCUCUGACGUAGACGACAGUCUGACCUUUGAGAAGAAAGAGCUGUUCAACAAGGUCUUGAAAGAGCUGAACCUGUUUUUUAGCAUCAGCACAAGUGAUUUCACAAGAGACAGCGGUGCAUCGUCCUCUGAGCAGUGUGUUCGUGUGUCUGGAGCCUCGGAUCGAGACAACUGCAAAGAAGAUCUCAGCAUCGCAAAACUAGGAUGCUAUGGAGACCCAUCGCCAGACUCCGGCCUGGAAAUGUGUGCUGGGGAUCCAGAUGUUUCUCCUACCUGUGAAGGCGAGCAGGAGGUUCCCCUCGGCAGCCAUCUGUGCACCGAGGAGACUCACAAAGAGCCCCCGCAGAGGAAGAGAUGGUCUCCGUCCUUCCCGGGUCCCCCUCUCCUGGAACAACUGGGCUACAGACAGCCGGAGCAGACGAGGCGGCUGGAGCCUCUGCGAACAUGCAACCGGCCCAUCCGGGUCGGACUCUCAAAGAGAGCCAAGACCAAACACCUGCACCCCCCGCCCUGCCGGGGGGCUUCGCUGCCUUAAACAGGACGGAGCGACGAGUGAUGGCUGUUCAUGUGUUGUGUUCUCUGCUUCAUCGCUCUCCAGGCUCCGGUUCCUGCUUCUUUAUUCAGGUUAUACGCUAAUAAGCCAGAUGCUGCUGCCAAGUAAGGAAUCCUGCUCUGUGUCCACAUUGUCCCUGCUCAAAGUAGUAUUCUAGUUUUCAUAUCUUCCCCAAUUUUUAUGCACUGAUCUAUUUAUAUAUUUAUGUAUUUAUUGGCUUUCUUUCAACCCAGAUUAGGGUUGAAAAAAGCACAUAUAUGUUAUUAGGGCAAAACUCAAUUCCUAGUUCUUUGAAUUAGUUGUGACGUGUAAUCGUUUGCUCUCUGCUGUAACGUCUUCUCUGUGCAACGUGUUCCGUGGAACGUCACUGCGAGUUGAAUGUGAAAAUAACCAGUUCCCCAUUCAAUUAAAUACUGUACUUGCAUACAAACGUGUUUUUAAUAUAUAUAUAUACACACACAUGACUCUUUUGGCAACACAUGAAUUAACAUCAAUGAGCUGGUUCCAAAUGAACGUCUCCAGUCGCUGCUCGGGCUCCGAGGCGGUCCGGCUGAGCUCCCAGGUGGACGAUGGACUCAGCUGUUGUGGUAAGUGGUAAGAGAGCUAUUUGGUCUACCUCCUGAAUGGGAACGGGGGGGGAGGUUGGUUGUUUAUCCUCACGUGCGCGGGUGAGACAGAUCCAGGGACAGUAGUGAGGAAAACAACAGGACAGCAGCCAUGUCAGUGAACAAUGGAUCCAUGUUCCCUUCACUGGAAGUCCUCUUUGUAAAAGAGCAGAAUGAAAAUGCAGAAAUGACAUCACACGAUUCUUUUAUCUGUAUAACGACUAAUUAGGACUUCUUCCCCUGCUGGAGCCCCGCAGGGUAUUUUACCAAAGCAAUUUGAGUUUGUUGUAUUCACCGAUGUUUCCCACGACUUUGGAAUAACAUUCGUGUCCCGAUCACGUCUGAGAUUUUUCUGGUGUAUAAUUUAGGUUCAGUGAGCAAGUUGCCUCAGCUGGCAGCCCGAUCAAAGGAAACACAGAGGUAUGGCUUUCCAAAAUAAUUGGAUUCUAGUGGAACACUUUGAAUGUGGCUGCAGCCUUGUGGAUUUGAUUCAUCCCCAGUAGAUAAUGGCUCAGUCACUGUUAGUUCUGCCCUGUGUGUUGGCCUGUUUGAAAUGGACAUUUUUUAACCCCUUUAGCUUAAAGCAUACUUCAUUCAACCAUUGGUGAUCAUUUGUAUUCCACUACAAUUGACAUUACUCUAAACACGCCAUGUUGCGUGUACAUCUGGAACAUGUUUCCUCCAUUUGUUGUCUUACUGCACACGCACAUGCCAGUAAUCUUCCGGGUUUUAGUUACAGCUCACUUGAGGUGCAGUGGAGGGUGUCUCCUAUGCACCAUUCUUACAUAACAGUCGCAUUUUCAAACUAUUCCAACAGCAUUAAAGUUAAUGAGCCAUACUAUUAUUACAAGGACGCCUCUGCUGUGUGUUCUUGUCUGCAUACGUGGGCACAUUUCACAGGAGCUUUUGUGAAUUUUGGAAAUACAGCGACUGCUUCUGCUAAUGUAAGAGCGUCUUGUCUACAAUAGAAUGAAUAAUACAUUAGUUUAAGUCAUUUUCAUGAGAUUGAGUAUUUUUUAUAAGUAUGUAGUCUAUUAUUACCAUAUGCUCGUGAAAUGUUUCUGAUGUCUUCCCAUGCAGUCCUUGUUUGACACAUCUGUAGCGCGGGAUGGAGUUCUGCACUCUGCACGUCUACCGCCCUCCUGCAGGGGGGGUCAGUGCCGGUCUGCCUCAGGGAUCCUAAGCAGCUCUUCAAAGGCUUCAAGGCCGUUCCACAGAGACUGCUCUCCUUGCUGUCUCAGAGCAUCUCCACACUGCUAGAGCUCCUGUCUCUCCUCUGUCCUCAUCCUUCUGGACCUCUCUGCUGCAUUUGACACAGUCAACCACCAGAUACUUAUCUCCUCCCUUCAAGAAACUUGGUGUCUCAGGCUCUGCUCUCUCCCUUCUCUCGUCCUACCUCGACGGCCGCACCUACCGGGUAACCUAGCGAGGAUCUGUGUCGGAACCUUGUCAUCUUACUACUGGAGUUCCUCAGGGUUCCGUCCUGGGUCCCCUCCUCUUCUCGCUCUACACCAACUCUCUCGGCGCUGUCAUUCGCUCGCAUGGCUUCUCCAACCACAGCUACGCCGAUGACACCCAACUAAUUCUCCACCAACUCUCCCUGACCCCCAACAUUACAGCAACAAUACGAUCCUUUAGAUACUCGCUCUACAACAUCAGGAGAAUACGUCCUCUCCUCACUCAGAAGGCGGCGCAGAUCUACAGUCUGAGGCCAUUGUUAUAAAGAGAGAGCCAAUGGAGUUAAUGCGUUUUUCCUUUUUUCUCAAAUCCAACGUGGGCGGAUGCGUGGUGGUCCGGUCUGAAUCGCUGCUGCCUGCUCAGAGCCCACGAUGCCUCCAGGAUGCACUCUGUUCGCUAUCGACUUUCUUUACUCAGCCACUUUGUCCAGCAUAUGAUAUGAUCAGUUCAUCCUGGCUGUAAACAUUUCUGGUAGUCGGCCUUGUUGGGACCUUUUGUGUGGAGCAAAUUGCUUUUUGAAAGUUUUGGUUUUUGUUACCUUGUUGGCUACAAAAUAAAAGCCUCCGGCUUUGUUUCAUAUUCACGUCUUUUUGAGAUGCCAAGUAGGCUCCUUGAUGACUGCAGGAGGGACUGAAGCUAAAAGUCUGCCUGUACGUGCUCACUGAUUGGCUACACGCGUUAUACAAAGACUGCUGUGUCCUCACCUUUGCUCCGUCCCACAGUCCCCUGCAGGUGGUCCCGGGGGACAGUGAUGGUGACCAAAGGUUUGACCUCUGCAGGAGAAUUUGUCAAUGCGCUGACCUGAGGUCAGCCGUCUCCGGGCCUGCAGGGUUCGGCUGGUUUGUCACUGAGGGAAUCCUCCAGAAGCAGCCACACGUCCUCAGAAGCAUGUUGAUGUUUUUAGAAUCAACGCACGUCUCGACACAGAGGCUGAUAAACCGCUGUGAAAUACCAGGGAAAAUAGAGACAGUGCUACCGCCACGUUAUAUUAAUACUAUGGAUUGUGAGGUGGGAGACAAAUGUGGUUGAUGACCAGAGAAAGUAUCAACGCACUGAGAACAGAAAAGAGUGGACCGUUCUAAUCUUUGAACAUGUUCAACAGAUCGAUGCGGUUCACACUGUAAUGUGACGUAAUGCAGAGAGUUAAACUGAGAUUUAGAUGUUCCCCUCCUUUUUCCCUCCCUCCUUUUUCCCUCCCUCCUUUUUCCCUCCCUCCUGCCCAGACAGACGACCAGGAGGGAACCGCUGCUGCAAUGCAGCAAAACAAAUUGUGAGAAUCUAUUAAGCUUUUGUGAUUGUCUCCUUGUUUGUCUUUGUGGCUCCGUCGGGGUUCGACAUGAAAGACGCUCCGAGUAGUGGAAGAUAAAAUCAACAUGCAGCGUAUUUUCACUUCAUGUGUCUUUAGUUGGUCAUAAAGGGAUCUGAAGGCCAUCAUUUAAUUGUUCUGGACACCAUUUCAAACCGGUGCGAUGUGACUUCAGCUGCCGUCCACACGAAGGUCGUCCUUUGCUCACGUCGGCCACCUGCAGCGUCCACGAGGGUUGUUGCACAAACAACGCUGAAUGCAAUGCAGACAAAGACGUCUGUGGCUCACUGGACAGGGAAAAUAAAGCGCGAUGUCCUUCACCCUUUCCACAGGGCACAUGGUGAUGGGACUAAUGGACGGCUCCAAAGUGCUUUGGGUUCAGGGUGACAGGUUCAGACUCUCCUUAUUCUUUGUAAAACCGAACACGUUGCAGCUCCAGGACAAUGUUUCACACUGCGUGUCUGCUUGUGAACAUAACUAAACACUAAAAUAAGAGUAAAUUAACCCUAAAAACACAAGUAAACAUUUCAAGCAGUUAAGAAGCCACUAAAAUGACUCAAUAUGUCGCACACAGAGUCGAGGACAUCGAUCGAGGGAGCGUCUCCUGGUAUCCUGGGUCCCGGACUGUGAUCUCUACCAGGUGGUUGCUGGCUUGUUACAAAAUGAGCACAAGCAAUUACUUGGCGCCCACAUUAAGUGGCACCGUUUACCACAUCGUUUAAACCACGAAGGCCGUUGGAGGCAAACAGGCACAACUACUAUUGUACGAGCUGCACAGUGAUUAUUCACUCAGUGGGGCAACACGCUUCCGUCUCCGGGCUGCGUUUCAGCGCGUGAGGGAUGGAUGGAGGGUGAGGCACUGUUCAUCUGAGGUUGUCGUGGUCGGUGGUGAAUAAGAGUAGAUGGCACACGGCCUGUUACCAUGGCAACGAGUCCCACGUUGACGGGCGGAGUGAAAUGAAUUCCAGUUAUUCUCUCGUUUUUAACAUGUAAAUUCCUCUCCCUCGUUUUUCCUCGGCUCCUCUUACUCACAUGUAUAUAUAUAUAAUAAUAAUAUAAUAUUAUAUAAGUGUGUGUGACGCGCUGAUGGCUGAUGAUUCAGGAGGAGAAUUGAUGCUUAUGUUCAGCUAACACGUUGUGUUUAGCCGCUGGAUGCAAUCACUCAGCAGCUCGACUCAACUAUUGUCAUGGAUUAUUUGUUGUGUAAUAAAUAAAACAACAUUUAAAAGUUCCUCUGGAUCUGUGGUUUUGAUUUAGGAUUUAACUGGCUUAUAUUUCCAGACGAAUUACAUAUCGGAGGGAGGCUGAAAUACAGUACGUGUAGAUAAUACACUAAUUGGAUAACUAUACAAAGGUUAGUUUUAAUUCAUCAUCUGUAUUAAUGAUCUAAAUUAGAGAUAAAUAGUUUUAAAAACUCAGAUCGUAGGCCCGGUAAUGAUUGCUGAUCCAAUACAUAAUGUAGAUAUGUUAAUAUGGCACAAGGCCUGUGUAGCCUGUGUAGUCUGAGACACAAUAAAUGACUCAUGUGCCUUGAUGUAAAACGUAAUAUCUAAUAAGAGCAGCAGGAGGGACAGAAGUUUAACUAAACAGGGAUGUAACAUUCUGCACAUGGCUGCAGAAAUCAACACAACAGGAAUCCCU
ensembl:lncRNA